UACAGAGGUCUCAAGCGUUGUUCGGAUUCAUUGGGCGUAAAGGGUGCGUAGGUGGCUGGGUAAGUCUGGUGUGAAAUCUCGGAGCUCAACUCCGAAACUGCACUGGAUACUGCCUGGCUCGAGUACUGGAGAGGAGAUUGGAAUUUACGGUGUAGCAGUGAAAUGCGUAGAUAUCGUAAGGAAGACCAGUGGCGAAGGCGAAUCUCUGGACAGUUACUGACACUGAGGCACGAAGGCCAGGGGAGCAAACAGG
rnacentral:rRNA from 1 species